AACGAACGCUGGCGGCAGGCCUAACACAUGCAAGUCGAGCGCCCCGCAAGGGGAGCGGUGGACGGGUGAGUAACGCGUGGGAACGUGCCCCUUUCUACGGAAUAGCCUCGGGAAACUGGGAGUAAUACCGUAUAAGCCCUACGGGGGAAAGAUUUAUCGGGAAGGGAUCGGCCCGCGUUGGAUUAGGUAGUUGGUGGGGUAAUGGCCUACCAAGCCGACGAUCCAUAGCUGGUUUGAGAGGAUGAUCAGCCACACUGGGACUGAGACACGGCCCAGACUCCUACGGGAGGCAGCAGUGGGGAAUCUUAGACAAUGGGCGCAAGCCUGAUCUAGCCAUGCCGCGUGAGCGAUGAAGGCCUUAGGGUUGUAAAGCUCUUUCAGGGGGGAAGAUAAUGACUGUACCCCCAGAAGAAGCCCCGGCUAACUCCGUGCCAGCCGCCGCGGUAA
rnacentral:rRNA from 1 species